CACGUAGGGUGCGAGCGUUGUCCGGAAUUAUUGGGCGUAAAGAGCUCGUAGGCGGCGUGUCACGUCGGCCGUGAAAACCUGCAGCUUAACUGUGGGCGUGCGGUCGAUACGGGCAUCACUGGAGUUCGGCAGGGGAGACUGGAAUUCCUGGUGUAGCGGUGAAAUGCGCAGAUAUCAGGAGGAACACCGGUGGCGAAGGCGGGUCUCUGGGCCGAUACUGACGCUGAGGAGCGAAAGCGUGGGGAGCAAACAGG
rnacentral:rRNA from 1 species